rnacentral:rRNA from 1 species
GAUGAACGCUGGCGGCGUGCCUAAUACAUGCAAGUCGAGCGAACAGACGAGGAGCUUGCUCCUCUGACGUUAGCGGCGGACGGGUGAGUAACACGUGGAUAACCUACCUAUAAGACUGGGAUAACUUCGGGAAACCGGAGCUAAUACCGGAUAAUAUAUUGAACCGCAUGGUUCAAUAGUGAAAGACGGUUUUGCUGUCACUUAUAGAUGGAUCCGCGCCGCAUUAGCUAGUUGGUAAGGUAACGGCUUACCAAGGCAACGAUGCGUAGCCGACCUGAGAGGGUGAUCGGCCACACUGGAACUGAGACACGGUCCAGACUCCUACGGGAGGCAGCAGUAGGGAAUCUUCCGCAAUGGGCGAAAGCCGGACGUAGCAACGCCGCGUGAGGAAGGAAGUUCUUCGGAUCGUAAAACUCUGUUAUUAGGGAAGAACAAAUGUGUAAGUAACUAUGCACGUCUGGACGGUACCUAAUCAGAAAGCCACGGCAAACUACG